rnacentral:rRNA from 1 species
GUGGGGAAUCUUAGACAAUGGGCGCAAGCCUGAUCUAGCCAUGCCGCGUGAGCGAUGAAGGCCUUAGGGUUGUAAAGCUCUUUCGUGGGGGAAGAUAAUGACUGUACCCCAAGAAGAAGCCCCGGCUAACUCCGUGCCAGCAGCCGCGGUAAUACGGAGGGGGCUAGCGUUGUUCGGAAUUACUGGGCGUAAAGCGCACGUAGGCGGACUGGAAAGUCAGGGGUGAAAUCCCGGGGCUCAACCCCGGAACUGCCUUUGAAACUCCUGGUCUGGAGUUCGAGAGAGGUGAGUGGAAUUCCGAGUGUAGAGGUGAAAUUCGUAGAUAUUCGGAGGAACACCAGUGGCGAAGGCGGCUCACUGGCUCGAUACUGACGCUGAGGUGCGAAAGCGUGGGGAGCAAACAGGAUUAGAUACCCCGGUAGUCC